rnacentral:lncRNA from 1 species
CGGGAGGCAGGGCAGCCCUGGCCACCCUCCGACGGGUGUCCUCUGAGAUCUGCUGCCUUCUUCUGCCUUGGCCACCUUGCCUGGGCUGCGGCCUGGGGCGGUGUGGCUGCCUGCUCUCAGCCUGUGUGACCUCACGGCUUCUCCYGGAGGCGUGCUCCAUAAGUAUCCCCAGGACUGAGCACAGAGCCCCCAGAUGAUGGUGAACUAGGAAAUCAAACAAGAGGGUUCCAGAGAGUCGCUAAGAGACAAAGAGGCCUGCAUUCACCAUUAUUGCCACAGAACUACCUGGACUGAUAAUCCAGCUCCACAGAGACCCUCACCAUGCGCUGAGAGGAGGGGUGGGCUGGCAGCUCUGCCUGAGCCUGGCGCCCCUCCAUGGGAGUUCUGGGGCACACCAGCGUCCUGAGCCGCCCCUGUCUUAGCCUAUGCCACAAGGGCACCUCCUUUAUUUUAAGAAACAGGCUGGUGAAGACCAGGACCUGGACGGCUUGGCCAAGUGGGGGCUCCGGUGGUCCCCAACAGGCCAGGGCUGCAGCCUCCAUGCAGAGCCCGUGUGCAGAGCAGGUCACAGCCUCUGUCAUCACGUUGGAUCUCGGUUGGCCAGAGUUGUCACAGACAUGAAGAGAACCACAUCAACUUACAUAGCCCAAGAGUCCGGAGCACCCACGUGGCAGAUGGCCCAGUGGCUGCCCCUCUCCCUCGACACGAUGCCAAGAGCGUCUUGUGGGUGCAUGUGGAAGUGUACCUUGCUCUUCAGUAUCUAUUUCCUCUUCGACACUCAAGGUACUUUUGAACUGUGCAGGGGAAGCCUGCCAUUUGG